CCGACCUUAGCUCAGUUGGAAGAGCACAAGACUGUAAUGGUUAGCUUAUCUUGGGGUCGCCUGUUCGAACCAGGCAGGUCGGA